rnacentral:rRNA from 1 species
UACGAACCGUCCUAACGUUGUUCGGAAUCACUGGGCUUAAAGGGCGCGUAGGCGGCUUGCCAAGUCAGGGGUGAAAUCCUGCAGCUUAACUGUAGAAGGGCCUUUGAUACUGGCGAGCUCGAGGGAGGUAGGGGUAUGUGGAACUUCCGGUGGAGCGGUGAAAUGCGUUGAGAUCGGAAGGAACGCCCGUGGCGAAGGCGAGAUCCUGGACGUCUUCUGACGCUGAGACGCGAAAGCUAGGGGAGCAAACGGG